rnacentral:snoRNA from 1 species
AUCCCGUGAUGGGGACAGGCAGGGACAUACUCUUGCAGAUGCUCCCAAACUUCUGGUAUGGAUUCCUCCUUCAUCUGCUGGAAAUUGGAAAUUCUCCCACGAAGGGC